rnacentral:rRNA from 1 species
GACGAACGCUGGCGGCGUGCUUAACACAUGCAAGUCGAGCGAGAAAGCACCUUCGGGUGUGAGUAAAGCGGCGAACGGGUGAGUAACACGUGGGUAACCUGCCCUGGAGACCGGGACAACCAUUCGAAAGGAUGGCUAAUACCGGAUAUCCUGCGGAAUCGCAUGGUUCCGUAGAAAAUGGUAGCUUCGGCUUCUGCUUCAGGAUGGACCCGCGGCCCAUUAGCUUGUUGGUAGGGUAACGGCCUACCAAGGCGACGAUGGGUCGCCGGCCUGAGAGGGUGAUCGGCCACACUGGAACUGAGACACGGUCCAGACUCCUACGGGAGGCAGCAGUGGGGAAUCUUGCGCAAUGGGCGAAAGCCUGACGCAGCAACGCCGCGUGGGGGAAGAAGGCCUUAGGGUUGUAAACCUCUGUCAGGAGGGACGAAGCCACCUGCGUUAAUAGCGUAAGGGGUGACGGUACCUCCAAAGGAAGCCCCGGCUAACUACGUGCCAGCCGCCGCCGUAACAC